GGUUGUGGCUCAGUGGUAGAGUGCUUGCCCGGCAUGCAUGAGGCACUGGGUUUGAUUCUCAGCACCA
rnacentral:tRNA from 1 species